AGAAUCAACGCUGGCGGCGUGCCUAACACAUGCAAGUCGAACGCGGUUACCCCGCAAGGGGUAACUGAGUGGCGAACGGGUGAGUAACACGUGGUGACCUACCUUCGAAUGGGGGAUAACGUCCCGAAAGGGACGCUAAUACCGCAUAACAUCCUGCUUUUGAACAGGUGGAGAUCAAAGCCGGGGAUCGCAAGACCUGGCGUUUGAAGAGGGCCCGCGUCCGAUUAGCUAGUUGGUGAGGUAACGGCUCACCAAGGCGACGAUCGGUA
rnacentral:rRNA from 1 species